GUCUGGGAUUUGUUUAAAAGGAGCAAACAAAAAAGCCUGCCAGAUACAGCAUAAGGGAUAUUAUGCUAGGGCUUAUACCAACCAUUAGUUCUGAUUAUUGGGGAGCUUUUCAGGAGCAAAAUGGCAGUGAUGAUUGGAAUCGCUUUCAGCAACAAUAGGAACCGGAUCCCAUGCCGCCUCGGCAGAAGCAACCAGCUACAAUGUCUCAGCAAGUGUGGCGGCUAGCGCAGAUAUCUUCGGUGAAGCAACCAACUGCCACGCAAAAGAAGCCUUAGCAAGUGAGGCAUCCAGCCCAAAUUCACCCAGCAGCAGAAGCAACCGGCCCCCAUUCCUCAGCAAGUCUGCCAUCCACCCCAAAUGCCCCAGAAGCAACUGGCCCCAUGUCUCAGAAGAAGCAAUACGGGAGUACUAAAGAUGGUGGUUCUGGUAGCUCUCAGGCCAGCAUCGUUGAACAGUCAGUUCUCAUCCCAAUCCGUUCCUACAGUUCCAAAUCGCACUACGAGGAUGGCAAAACCCGCUACACUCCUGAGAACAUUGUCUGUUAAAAGUGGAAAAGCCCCCAAUGAGUGUUGGCAUAUUUGAACCAAGCACAUACUCACAACUUGUAGGAUCCUUUACUAGUGAACGUACAACUUUAAUCUGAUCUUCACUUUGCUUUCUGAAUUUGAAGUCCUUUAACUAACCAUGUUUCGGCCAACAGGAAAAUCUAAUGGUGGACUCAUCCUUUAGAAGCUGAUGGUGAGACUUUAAUGUCAAAUUGAUGAAAUAAGAUUUUGUUGCUGACACUAAUUUCGUUUAGGUUUUAGUCAUGCUUUUGUUUUGACCAGGAAGUUGCCGGUGCUCUUGCUAUUCUUGCAUGAUUGAAUCAAUAAAAAUGUGUAAUUGAAAUAC